GGCCUAUUAGCUCAGUUGGUUGGAGCGUUGUGCUAAUAAUGUGAAGGUCGCAGGUUCAAGACCUGCAUGAGCCA
rfam:Ipomoea nil DNA, scaffold: scaffold0418, cultivar: Tokyo-kokei standard.